rnacentral:rRNA from 1 species
GUGCCAGCAGCCGCGGUAAUACGUAGGGCGCAAGCGUUGUCCGGAAUUAUUGGGCGUAAAGAGCUCGUAGGCGGUUUGUCGCGUCUGCUGUGAAAACCCGAGGCUCAACCUCGGGCCUGCAGUGGGUACGGGCAGACUAGAGUGCGGUAGGGGAGACUGGAAUUCCUGGUGUAGCGGUGGAAUGCGCAGAUAUCAGGAGGAACACCGAUGGCGAAGGCAGGUCUCUGGGCCGCAACUGACGCUGAGGAGCGAAAGCAUGGGGAGCGAACAGGAUUAGAAACCCCUGUAGUCC